rnacentral:rRNA from 1 species
UGAAUACGAGACGCUACGGCGUCGAAGCAGUCUAUGUCAUACUUCCAAGAAAAGCUUGCACUGUCAUAAACAAAUAAUGCCUGUACCAUAACCGACACAGGUGGGUAGGUAGAGUAUACUAAGGGGCGCGAGAUAACUCUCUCUAAGGAACUCGGCAAAAUGACUCCGUAACUUCGGGAGAAGGAGUGCCUUAUUUAUAAGGUUGCAAUAACAAGAUCCAAGCAACUGUUUAUCAAAAACACAGGUCUCCGCUAAGUCGUAAGACGAUGUAUGGGGGCUGACGCCUGCCCAGUGCCAGAAGGUUAAAGAAGUUGGUUAGCAUUAGCGAAGCUGAUAACUGAAGCCCUGGUGAACGGCGGCCGUAACAAUAACGGUCCUAAGGUAGCGAAAUUCCUUGUCGGGUAAGUUCCGACCCGCACGAAAGGCGUAAUGAUUUGGAUACUGUCUCAGAGAGGGGCUCGGUGAAAUAGACUUGUCUGUGAAGAUGCGGACUACCUGCACCAGGACAGAAAGACCCUAUGAAGCUUUACUGUAACUUGAAAUUGAAAUUGGACUUUAUUUGCGCAGUAUAGGUGGGAGGCAUUGAUAAUAUUCUUGCGGGAAUGUUGGAGCCAUCAGUGAGAUACCACUCUUGUAAUGUUAGAUUUCUAACUUUGGAUCAUUAUCUGGUCAAAGGACAGUUUCAGGCGGGCAGUUUGACUGGGGCGGUCGCCUCCUAAAUGGUAACGGAGGCGCACAAAGGUUUCCUCUGAACGGGUAGAAAUCGUAUCUAGAGUGUAAAGGCAUAAGGAAGCUUGACUGUGAGACCUACAAGUCGAGCAGGGACGAAAGUCGGUCUUAGUGAUCUGACGGUGCUGAGUGGAAAGGCCGUCACUCAACGGAUAAAAGUUACUCUAGGAUAACAGGCUGAUCUCCCCCAAGAGUUCACAUCGACGGGGAGGUUUGGCACCUCGAUGUCGGCUCAUCGCAUCCUGGGGCGGUAGUACGUCCCGAGGGUUGGGCUGUUCGCCCAUGAAAGCGGUACGCGAGCUGGGUUCAGAACGUCGUGAGACAGUUCGGUCCAUAUCCGGUGUAGGCGUUAGAAUAUUGAGAGGAGCCUUCUUUAGUACGAGAGGACCGAGAAGGACAUACCUCUGGUGUACCAGUUAUCGUGCCAACGGUAAACGCUGGGUAGCUAUGUAUGGAGAGGAUAACCGCUGAAAGCAUCUAAGUGGGAAGCCCACCUCAAGAUAAGUAUUCUCAU